GCGCCGCUAGCUCAGUUGGUAGAGCAGCUGACUCUUAAUCAGCGGGUCCAAGGUUCGAGUCCUUGGCGGCGCA
rnacentral:tRNA from 1 species